GGGUGAGUAAUACAUCGGAACGUGCCCUGUAGUGGGGGAUAACUAGUCGAAAGAUUAGCUAAUACCGCAUACAACCUGAGGGUGAAAGUGGGGGACCGCAAGGCCUCAUGCUAUAGGAGCGGCCGAUGUCUGAUUAGCUAGUUGGUGAGGUAAAGGCUCACCAAGGCGACGAUCAGUAGCUGGUCUGAGAGGACGAUCAGCCACACUGGGACUGAGACACGGCCCAGACUCCUACGGGAGGCAGCAGUGGGGAAUUUUGGACAAUGGGGGCAACCCUGAUCCAGCAAUGCCGCGUGUGUGAAGAAGGCCUUCGGGUUGUAAAGCACUUUUGUCCGGAAAGAAAUCGCACUUACUAAUAUUAGGUGUGGAUGACGGUACCGGAAGAAUAAGGACCGGCUAACUACGUGCCAGCAGCCGCGGUAAUACGUAGGGUCCAAGCGUUAAUCGGAAUUACUGGGCGUAAAGCGUGCGCAGGCGGUUGUGCAAGACCGAUGUGAAAUCCCCGGGCUUAACCUGGGAAUUGCAUUGGUGACUACACGGCUAGAGUGUGUCAGAGGGGGGUAGAAUUCCACGUGUAGCAGUGAAAUGCGUAGAGAUGUGGAGGAAUACCGAUGGCGAAGGCAGCCCCCUGGGAUAACACUGACGCUCAUGCACGAAAGCGUGGGGAGCAAACAGGAUUAGAUACCCUGGUAGUCCACGCCGUAAACGAUGUCUACUAGCUGUUCGUGGUCUUGUACUGUAAGUAGCGCAGCUAACGCACUAAGUAGACCGCCUGGGGAGUACGGUCGCAAGAUUAAAACUCAAAUGAAUUGACGGGGGCCCGCACAAGCGGUGGAGCAUGUGGUUUAAUUCGACGCAACGCGAAGAACCCUACCUACUCUUGACAUCUCCAGAAGACUGCAGAGAUGCGGUUGUGCCUUCGGGAACUGUAAGACAGGUGCUGCAUGGCUGUCGUCAGCUCGUGUUGUGAAAUGUUGGGUUAAGUCCCGCAACGAGCGCAACCCUUAUCCUUAGUUGCCAGCGCGUAAUGGCGGGAACUCUAGGGAGACUGCCGGUGAUAAACCGGAGGAAGGUGGGGACGACGUCAAGUCGUCAUGGCCCUUACAAGUAGGGCUACACACGUGCUACAAUGGUAUGUACAGAGGGAGGCAAGCUGGCGUCAGUGAGCGGAUCUCUUAAAGCAUAUCGUAGUCC
rnacentral:rRNA from 1 species